rnacentral:lncRNA from 1 species
GGGGAGGGGGGGGGUGUCAAUUGUAGAUAUUUGCAAGUAAAUCAUAUCCAUGUGUACCAGGUCUGAAGAGGUAAGGAUUAGAUGUGAAAUGCGUUCUUUCUUAUCUAGCUGCAUCGGUACUUAACCGGAAGGGAGAAUGACAUCCAUCUAACUAUAGCUAGGAAUCUGGCCGAAACCACCGACAUCUAAUUUAAGCAGGAUCACUUAAUUGCAAUUAACCAUUGUAUGCCAAAGCAAAGGAGUUCCUCUUAUGGGAUCAAAUGUACUAUAAAAAAGAGAAGGUCUGAUGGGAAACUAGAUUAUAGGAAUGAAAAGAUCAAGCAAGAUGAAUAGACACAAGAAAUAUUUUACGCCAAUGG